AGAAUGAACGUUGGCGGCGUGGAUUAGGCAUGCAAGUCGAACGGGCCGCAAGGCCAGUGGCGCAAGGGUGAGUAAGGCGACGGCAACCAACCCCGUGAUUGGGUAUAGCCGCGGGAAACCGCGGGUAAUCCCCAGCGACGUCCGGGAGGGGCAUCCCCUCCGGACCAAAGCUUCGGCGUCGUGGGACGGGCCGUCGUGCUAUUAGCUUGUUGGCGGGGUAACGGCCCACCAAGGCUCUGAUGGCUACCGGGCGUGCGAGCGUGGCCCGGCACACUGGGACUGAGACACUGCCCAGACUCCUACGGGAGGCUGCAGUCGAGAAUCUUCGGCAAUGGGCGCAAGCCUGACCGAGCGACGCCGCGUGGAGGACGAAGGCCUUCGGGUUGUAACUCCUGUCGAGGGGAAGAAGGGUAAACCUUGACUGAUCCUGGAGGAAGCGACGGGCUAAGUUCGUGCCAGCAGCCGC
rnacentral:rRNA from 1 species